UUCCGGUUGAUCCUGCCGGAGGCUACCGCUAUUGGAGUUCGAUUAAGCCAUGCGAGUCGAGAGUCCUCGGGACUCGGCGUACCGCUCAGUAACACGUGGGUAACCUGCCCUAUGCUGGGGAAUAACCUCGGGAAACUGAGAAUAAUGCCCCAUAGCCCACUACGCCUGGAACGGUGAGUGGGUCAAAGCUCCGGCGGCAUAGGAUGGGCCUGCGCCGUAUCAGGUUGUAGGGGGUGUAAAGUACCCUCUAGCCAUCAACGCGUACGGGUGUUGGGAGACAUUGCCCGGAGAUGGAUUCUGAGACACGAAUCCAGACCCUACGGGGUGCAGCAGGCGCGAAAACUUGGCAAUGCGAGAAAUCGUGACCAGGGAACUCCAAGUGCGUAGGGUAAGACCUACGCUUUUCUUGACUCUUCAAAGGUCUUGGAAUAAGGGGUGGGUAAGGACGGUACCAGCCGCCGCGGUAAUACCGGCGCCUCAAGUGGUAGUCGCUUUUAUUGGGCCUAAAACGUCCGUAGCCGGUCUGGUGCAUUCGUGGGUAAAUCAACCCGCUCAACGGGUUGAAUUCUGCGAGCACGGCCAGACUUGGGACCGGGAGAGGUGUGGGGUACUCUCAGGGUAGGGGUAAAAUCCUGUCAUCCUGAGAGGACCACCUGUUGCGAAGGCGCCACACUAGAACGGAUCCGACGGUCAGGGACGAAACCUAGGGGCACGAACCGGAUUAGAUACCCGGGUAGUCCUAGGUGUAAACGCUGUGGACUGAUGGUUUGGGGGGCGCUCCGAGCGCCCUCAGUGUCGAAGCGAAGUGAUAAGUCCACUGCCUGGGGAGUACGGUCGCAGCUGAUGAACUUAAGGAAUUGGCGGGGGGAGCACUGCAACCUGAGGAUUGUGCGGUUUAUUGGAUUCACGCCGGGAAGG
rnacentral:rRNA from 1 species